AUUUGGUGCUGAGGGCACUUGAUGCACAACUUCUUGAAUCGCUCCCAGUAAUCAUAAAGCGACUCCCCUGGAUAUUGUUUGAUACCGCAUAUCUCCUUCCUUAAACU